CUUGGUACUCUAUGUGGGGCAUGACAGAACCAAUGGUGAGUUGGGAAGGGGUAUUCGCGUUGUCUCUGCAAUGGACGAUAAGACAUGAAACUGAGGCCGAGCUGUCUGAGGGUGGAGCAAUUAAGGGGGCAUUUCAGACAUCACUCUUCCCCAUGUGGCAGGAACAGUAGACCCCCCCCCCCGCUGUUAUGUACCUCUCUAAUGAAGGGAAUCCGCUGUUCUGUACCCCAGUCCUGGAAGGCAGCACAUAUGGGAUGGGGUCCUAAGCACCCUGUGGCAUCAGUAAGACAUGCCACUAAAGCUGAGCUGUCUGUCCAGCUUGCCUGUCUAAGAAGGGAAUUACAAGGAGAAAAAGGUGGAGAUGGCUGUGUGUCCUCUGCACCCUCCCCUGAAUUGGCAGGAAAGAGAGGAAA
rnacentral:lncRNA from 1 species